rnacentral:tRNA from 1 species
GCGGGCGUGGCGGAAUGGCAGACGCGCCAGACUUAGGAUCUGGUGCCUUAGGCGUAAGAGUUCGAGUCUCUUCGUCCGCA